GGUUGUAGCUCAGUGGUAGAGUGCUUGCUUGCAUGCAUGAGGCCCUGGGUUUGAUCCUCAGCACCA
rnacentral:tRNA from 1 species